GGGUUGUGAGGUUAAGCGACUAAGCGUACACGGUGGAUGCCCUGGCAGUCAGAGGCGAUGAAGGACGUGCUAAUCUGCGAUAAGCGUCGGUAAGGUGAUAUGAACCGUUAUAACCGGCGAUUUCCGAAUGGGGAAACCCAGUGUGUUUCGACACACUAUCAUUAACUGAAUCCAUAGGUUAAUGAGGCGAACCGGGGGAACUGAAACAUCUAAGUACCCCGAGGAAAAGAAAUCAACCGAGAUUCCCCCAGUAGCGGCGAGCGAACGGGGAGGAGCCCAGAGCCUGAAUCAGUGUGUGUGUUAGUGGAAGCGUCUGGAAAGGCGCGCGAUACAGGGUGACAGCCCCGUACACAAAAAUGCACAUGCUGUGAGCUCGAUGAGUAGGGCGGGACACGUGGUAUCCUGUCUGAAUAUGGGGGGACCAUCCUCCAAGGCUAAAUACUCCUGACUGACCGAUAGUGAACCAGUACCGUGAGGGAAAGGCGAAAAGAACCCCGGCGAGGGGAGUGAAAAAGAACCUGAAACCGUGUACGUACAAGCAGUGGGAGCAUGCUUAGGCGUGUGACUGCGUACCUUUUGUAUAAUGGGUCAGCGACUUAUAUUCUGUAGCAAGGUUAACCGAAUAGGGGAGCCGAAGGGAAACCGAGUCUUAACUGGGCGUUAAGUUGCAGGGUAUAGACCCGAAACCCGGUGAUCUAGCCAUGGGCAGGUUGAAGGUUGGGUAACACUAACUGGAGGACCGAACCGACUAAUGUUGAAAAAUUAGCGGAUGACUUGUGGCUGGGGGUGAAAGGCCAAUCAAACCGGGAGAUAGCUGGUUCUCCCCGAAAGCUAUUUAGGUAGCGCCUCGUGAACUCAUCUCCGGGGGUAGAGCACUGUUUCGGCAAGGGGGUCAUCCCGACUUACCAACCCGAUGCAAACUGCGAAUACCGGAGAAUGUUAUCACGGGAGACACACGGCGGGUGCUAACGUCCGUCGUGAAGAGGGAAACAACCCAGACCGCCAGCUAAGGUCCCAAAGUCAUGGUUAAGUGGGAAACGAUGUGGGAAGGCCCAGACAGCCAGGAUGUUGGCUUAGAAGCAGCCAUCAUUUAAAGAAAGCGUAAUAGCUCACUGGUCGAGUCGGCCUGCGCGGAAGAUGUAACGGGGCUAAACCAUGCACCGAAGCUGCGGCAGCGACGCUUAUGCGUUGUUGGGUAGGGGAGCGUUCUGUAAGCCUG
rnacentral:rRNA from 1 species